CGCGCCCGGUGGCCGUUGGCGCUCGCGCCGCGUCUUUCUUCUCGUACGCAGAACUCGGGCGGCGGCCUAUGCGUUUGCGAUUCGACGAGGAGUUGUCCGGGUGGUCGGCGGUGGCGGGCAGCUGCUCCGCCCCGCUCCCGGGGAGGCGGCGGCGGGAUUUGGCGCGGCCGGGGAAGCGGGGGUGGCUGGGGCCGGCCUGGAGGCCUGGCGCCACCCUUCGGGGCCUGCAAGGACCCAGUUGGAGGGACAGGAAGGUGCUGGGGGAUGGUUGGUGGUGGGCUUUCUACUUUGCCUUUUCCUCCUUAUGCCGCCUUAGUGAGAGGCGGGAGUUCUGGCGGCAGCUCCGGGGUAGGAGACAAGCUCCGGAGUCGGAAGAGCUGGGUUUGCUUCCGGGCCUAGCCACUAGCUGGCCGAGUGACCUUAGGCAAGUCACUCUGUAAUCUGUCUGCGCCUCAGUUUCCUCUUCUGUCUAACGAUGUUUGUGGGAUUAAAGCGCUUUGUAAACUAUAAAGCGUCAGUGUAUGCAAGGGAUAAUUAUUGUUUGUAAAAAUUUUUUUGAGUAAGAAAACAGCAAUUGCCUAAUCCAUGGAUUUUGAACCUGGGAGCCUUGGAUUGGAGUUGGAGAUACCCCAAACUCCCUUAAAUUGUAUGCAGAGUGGGAAUGUGCAUUUUAGGGGAAUGAGGAUCCAUCGCCAACAAGUUUUCAAAGGGAAAUGUCACCUCCCGAAGAGUUAAAGAUUUCUUUAUGCCAUAGGGAGGAAACUGAGGCCUAGAUGUUAUUUGGGAUCCUUCACAACCAAUUUGAAGCCCCUGUUUGAAUCCCUGGGAUAUGUGAGCUUUUCUGUGCAUAAUGGGUAUUGGGGUAACAACACUUCACUGCUUGGUUUUUUUCUGAGUUUUCCUUUCCCUAUGGGGUGCCUGAAGGGUGGCUAAUGCAUAUGGUACGGUGGCACCCAAUAUAAAGCAGCUGAAAUGGAUAUGUUCUCUAUCAAGAAUCCUAUUUAAUCUUUGGCCCAUUAACUCUUUGUUGCUGCUUAUACUGGUGCCAGACAACCUUUCUGACUCUUUCAUUGACCAUUUUUCACGACCAUGUUUGCCAUCUGUUACUUGCUCCUAUUUUAUAUUUCUAGUCUAUGUGGUUGCUAGUGAGCAGGCUUAUUUUUAAAUGGUGCUGCCAAGUCUAGCUAAUUAAUGGGGCAGGUGGAUCUUUAGCAAGCUGGCUCACUGGAAUAGACUGAACCAGCAUGGAAUUCCUGAAGAUGUUGGGGGGUUAUCUUUAUUAAUUGAAGGUUAACAUUUUCUGAAAAAUUGUGUUAGAACCUGCGCUGAACCUCAGAAUCAGUAGAUUUGGAAGUGUUUCAAAGCUUAACUUUUUUCUGGACUUUGUAUUCUAUUUGCUUGCAAGGGUGUUACUAAGGUGGCCAAAAUGCCAGUUUUUUGCUUCUUUGUUAAUUGUCAGCUGCUUUUGUCUAAUUCCAGGCUAUUACCCAGCAAACACUAUAGAAAUGUUUGAACAGUUGGAUUUCAAACAUUUUGUUUGGAGUGGUAUAACUCUAAGCAAGCGAACACACGUUUAAGUGUAUUUUGUCUGGUUAGGUGUUACCUGGUUCUGCUAUUAACAUACAAAUGUCUGAAAAAAAAUUGACUGUUCCCUUUACCUAAAGGGCAGAGACAAAUCUCACUUCCAGAGAAGUAAUGUUUUUGGAGAAAAAUGUGUUGGUCUUUUAGGUCUUCUGUAAUAAAAUCUGGAUGUACUUACUGCAAAAGAAUCUUAAGACUGUGGUGAUAAGAUGCUUUUUUCAGCAGAAAGGAGUGAAAAAAAACAACUGGAACUCAAAGCUUGAAAUACUGUGACAAAACAUGAGAUGUACAGGAUAGAAGGUUGAAAGGGUUUCACUACAAUGUUCUACACUAGCUGGAGCAGAUGUCUUUCAGUAUAGCCAUGGCAUGGACUCCAGAUUUGCAAGACCUGGGACCUGGAAGAGCUUAUGAGGAUAUGACAGGAACUCUGGAGCUGGGUAUUUUUCUUUUUGAAUUUUGGGACUAUUGACCUCGCUUUCAGAAGAGACAACGACUAAGCAAGCAAUGCCACCAGUGCUGUUACUGAGAAUUUGAAGACCUGAGUUUCUGCCAGACCCUCAGUGCAAACUCUGGUGACACUGCAUCCAAAGUGAACUACGAUAGCAAGCCCCUUGGGAAAAAAGGGUCUUGUCUUACGAAUCUUGGCCCACACAUACUACCACAUAUGAUGAAGCUUUUAAUAGAAAGGAAGAAUUUAGAGAGCAGGCUAUCUCAGAAUAAGCAUUCACCUACAGAUUUGAUACCCGGAUUUUUGUCCAUGGUGAUUUCUAUCACCUUACUACUGAAGAAGAUACCAUUCCAGUGGACAACUGUGACCCAGGAGACAUUCAGCCAUCAUGACGUGGCCUUCACCUCCACUCCUGUCCUGUUCUAACCAGAUUGGGUAUCACCCUUUAUGUGAAGUCAAACUCCUCAAGCCAAAUAGCUGAAACUGUUUAAUCACAACAAAGGCCCAGUUUGUUCCAUGAGUGUGUAUUUUGUUUCUUCAGUUAAAGCCUUCAGAGACAUGUAAUAAAUUUGGACCAGGGGAUUCUUAUUUAUCAACACUGUCUGAAGACUGGUAACAUCUUCUUGAGAGCGACAUUGAACCACAUUCCACAAUCUCAAAUGUUUGAAGUAUAUGAAGUGUUGAGGAUCCCAUACAGGUCACUGGACACUUUCUUUUUCCACUACAAAGCUGUAGUAUCCUACUGAAUGAGAAAGCAGAUAUUCUGACCCAUUGGGAUUAAAACAAAGGCACAGUGAAGUCCUCAUAGCAUCUUUGGGAUUACUCAGGAACCAGAACUUUUCACAAAAAUGUAAGAAAUUUACAAAGGAAUCUUUACCCAGCAUCUCACAAAGCUUCAAUCAGAUUCCAGAAAAGGCCUUGAGACAUCCAGGUAGAACCUAUAUGAUAAUCCCUUAUGUUUAUAUCGCACUUUACAGUUUCAAAGCACUUUUACAUGCAUUAAUAUCAAUGAUCAAAAUCACACAAUAGACUAUAAUCCCUUAUUUGCAAAAGAGGAAAUGGGAUUUGAAAGGUUAUCCAAGGUAACAACAGCUACCAACUGGUGGAGGCCAGGCCUUCUGACUCCCAGUCCAGUUCUUUUCUUGGAAUUAAUUUGGCCUCUACCUUACCCACAGUGUUAAAAUGACUACGGUUUGGGAACCCUAGAAGUUUUCCAGCUUCCUGAUCUGGUGCCCUUAACCAGGAUGUCAUAAAUGUAAUAUUGUGAUAACUGUACCUAGACUAGAAUUCCAUGGAAACCACCCCUAAGGUUUAGGAGCAGACUGUCUUUAUGAUGGUAGACUGUCCAGUCUGCAAAACACAUGUUCAUCUAACAACACUACCCAACAUGAAACACAAAGCUACUUUUAGAUCUUUUGUCCAUCUUCGUGGUCUUUCCAAAGAUGGUGUAAUUGGGGAAUCCCUGUUCCUAUCAUGCCCUUGUUUUUUUGUUGUUUUUAAGUCUUAUACUGUAGGACACACAAGAUCUUAUCUAUGGUUUUUUUUGUCCCCAAACUAAUAUUUAUACAAAAUGAGCCAUCCAUUUAGAACAGUACUGUUCAUGUAUGUGUAUUUGUAAACAUAAUAUAUAUGUCAUACACAUAGAGCUUCUGUAGUCCAGUAAGGAGGUAAAAAUACUGUAAAAUGUGUCCCUCCCUGAUAAUGCAGUGUAGUGUAUUAAAGGAUAUUAGAAUGCCUGCAGCGAAAAAAUAAUAACUCAUUUAGCUGUUUAGCCUGGUAUGUUCUAAGUUGAAUCAAGCACAGAAUGUUACUUUUGCAACAUUCCUUUCAGUGGAAUGAGGCAGCUGCUUAAGAGUGGCAUAGCCAGUGCAUCCUGAAUGCCAACAGAUUGCCCUGGAGACCCAGGAUUAUAAACUACAUCUUUGUCCCCCUCCUUUUUUUCUUACCAAUAACAGCUUUGAAUUAGUAUGUUUCCAUCAUCUGAGAGUCCUUUAACUUGACCAUUACCUUGAUUUUCUGUCAAAGGAAUCUCUAGAAGAUUCGUGGGAAUACAGGGGAAGGGAUUAGGGGAAAAUUAGUUCAUCCAAAUUUGAAUGGAUUUGAUGACAUUUAGUGAUACACUCCUUUGUCCCUAGAAUUGUGCUAUAAGUCUAGUUCAAGGGUAUUGCAUCUCAGGUGGGUGAGAAGAUUGUGAAAGGAAAAGAGGAAGAAGAUGAAGAAAACGGGAGGAGGGGUGAGAAGGAGAUAUUUUCUUAGAAUUUCUGAGUUGUGGCCCACUGAGAUCUUAGUGAUUGAGGAGAAGUCACCCAGCGUGGACUUCUUGGAAUAAUAUUUACGAAGAAGUGAACCCAUUUUGCAGCUGUAUCCUGACUACAAAAACCCCAGUGCUAUUGUCACUUAAAACCAAUAGCCUUGUUCUCUGGUCAUCACAAGCCCAAUGAGAAUUUAUAGCAGACUUGAACAUUAAAUUUUCUAAUUCUAUAAUGUGGCCCACUUUAGGGGAAGAAUGAAUAGGAAAACACCUUGGCUUACCAAAGGCUUUGCUCACAGUUUCUGGUUUCUGUGACCUAUUUUUUGUAUUUCAGCAUUUUGUGAACAACUUAUUCUUAGAUUGGUUUUCCAAAGGCUUUGUGGCCAUGAAGCCCUUUGAAUGAAAACUAUGUGGAAGCCCAAAGUAAAAGUGAAGCUGCUCUGGAUGAAGCAGGAGUAGGGGGUCCUGAAACCUGCCACAAGCAUCUUCCUUUACUACCAUGGUGACACCUAAGGAGACUUCUUUACAACACCUAGAAUUCUUCAGAACACAUUUUGAAAAACACUGCCCUAGACCACAACAUGUUCGACCUGAAUGGUAUUCUGAUCUGUACCUCUACUCAACACAGUUCAGUUGGUGCUGAACAUUCUUAGAAAUACUUACUGUGAGCAAACUCAGAAAGUUGCAAGAACUUUCUUUGUCCCCCAAGUAGUUAUAUGAGCCAAAAGUGAUAUCAAAUGGACCUAAAUUAACAGCCCUCUGCCCCCCAGAUGGACUUCCAAUAAUUCCUGGGUUUGGAUAUAGACAGUAAUUCAUACGUACUCUGCAGUGACAAAAAAAACCCUUACCCAACUUGCACAAACACCAGAUGCUCUAGUGGUACUUGAAAUAUGUGAAUUUGAAGUUUUGAUCCUCUUUGGAUACCUGAAGUAACAGGUAUAGAAGCUGAUGCUUCAUUGAGGCUAUAGUAGACCAACUUGUACAUUGGACCUCCCAUCAUCAGCCAUGGUACUCUACUUCAUGUACCAAUGAAUAACCAUUAACUAUGGAAGCAGACUUCAGAUACUGGCAACAUUAACCGAAAGGGUACCUGGUUUUAUCAUUCAUCUUAUUCUCAAACUACAAGUCACUAUGACUCAACCAGUGGCAGUAAUACCACUGCUUGGUUUCUAUUUAACUGCUGUUUCCAGGAUAAAUGAGCUAAUUUUUUAAAAGCUAAAACAGUUCCUCUGUUAUUGGCAUAUCUGCCUGGCAUAAUCUUCUCUACGAUUAUAAAUACCCAGCUCUAACUACAUGUCAGACCUGAUCCACAAGAGACCAUCUUUGAACAUCUUUUCUCAUGUAUGUGAUUUAAAAUGUGGCCAUUUGGAAAGUUUUCUUCUAACCAGUGAGUGAUUUUUUGUUUUUGUUUUUUUAAAUAUGUUUUUAUUGAUUUUUUUUUGUGGUACGUGCCCCUAACGGGAACCGAACCCAGGACUCUGGUCCGCAGGCCAACGCUCAACCUUGUUUUUGUUUUUUUAAGAUGAGUCUUUUGAUGUCUGGUACUAUCAACUGUAGGUAUUAGGGAUUUGAGGUAGGCCUUUUGACUAGGCCAUCAUAGCUUACUUACUGGGAAUCUCAAAUUGUGUAUCGUCUACUUUUUUGCUGGAAAUGUAGACUGACUUGAAAAACAAAUCUACAAAGCCUGCAGCUAAGGAUUUUGUCAGUAGAUUCAAGUUUGCUGCUGCUGCUUCCUGAUGUCACAAGACCACAGUCCCAUUGUCCUUGUGGAUAUGUUCAUGGAUUUUUACCUGUCUCAAUACUGUUUUACACUGAUUCAGAGUGGCCAACUUCAUUUCUUGCCAUGAGAUACUUUCAGUCAUUGAGACAACUUACCUGUUUCUGCAGGAAGGAUUCGGUUUAUGAACUUCCAGACCAAAUCAUGUUGAACAAGUAGACAUUGAUUUAUGUCAUGAGAAAAAUCUCAUUGACUUCACAGUUGACUUAAGGGUCAACUCUCCUCAACUACUUUAACAAAUGCACUGGUUAAAUGUUGGGAAUGGUUUCUUUAUAUCUCUUAUCCAAUAAACUAAUUAUGAUUACAUGAUAUAGUCUACAAAUUGUCAAACAAGGCCUAAGUCUUGUUAUUUUAGACCAUUCACCAUCAACAAAUAAAAAUAAAAUGAUGACUAUCCUGCUUGUAUAUACAACUAUUAUUUGUAAAGGAGAAACCUGCAAAGUCAGUUUUUUUAUUACCUUUCAAAUGUCAGCUAGAUUUUUUUUUCUCUUGUACAAAAAAAGACACUGAUCUACACUGCCAGUCCUUCCCUUUAAUCCUGUCAGACUCAGUCAAAAUGAGGGGCUUAACAUGAGGAUGAUCAUCUUUCAAGAGUUUAAUGAACACUGUAUAAGAAUUGAUGGUUAAAAAGCAAAAAGCCUAAGAUUCAAAUCUAGGAUCUUACCUACUAUCUCCCUGCCUCAGAUCUCAUCUAAGUCCAGCAGCACCAUUCAGUCAGUUUGAGGCCUUGACUUGUUUUUGAUUCCUAGAGAGGUGCUGAAUUGCAGAAGAUGGAGACUUGAUUACCAAAGAAAGUAGUGCCAAUCUUCAUGAACUCUAUACUCCCAGGUAUAGCGUAGACACCUAAACAGAACCUCAAGUCUGGACUGAGAAUAUAGCCUCCUGAGCUGAAAAUUCUUGGGCAAAUGAGCAGGAAAAUUAAAGCUGCUAUACCUGACUGGCCAUUUAAGAUCUGAAAAUUGUAUCCAGAAUAAACACUAUGGAUUAACCCUGGAGUAAAUACUCAGGGUAAAAACUAAUUUACAGAGCUUCAAUAUUAAACUACAUGUUCUUCCAUAUCAUACCCUGGUUAUUGGUAUUGCUGGCCCUGCUGAAGGUACCCUACUUACCUAUUUACCUAACUCAGCCCUUGCCUGCCUUGUUUUGACAUGUUGCUGCAAUCAGACUUGCUGUCCUUGAGAAGACUGCAACUGAACUCAGCCUCUCAUAUACCCAAUUUCACCAAGGAGUUUUGAACAGAAGCAACUGCACCUCACCCCACCAGGACUUGAUGUUCUCAACAGGAAGGACCAUGCUGUGUACUCUUUGACCAACAGCAGCCUUUUUUGUUUUUUAAGUACAGAGUAAGCCUCUAGGCCUAUAUGUAUUUGAUCAUUUUCAGCACCUGGGACCCUUUCUAACAGAUCUGAAGGAGUACAGCAGAUCAAAAGCACUGUUAGUUUCUCUCUUAUGCAGUAAUACAGAGGUGAGUUGGAUUCACCUGUACAGAAGUAAGAAUGUUCAACUUGGCAAAAGACUUGAACACAAGAAAAGUUUUCCAGGAACUUAAAAUUUACCACUGACUUGAAUAGCCUCACAGAACUACUUGUCAUUGGGAGACUAGUUGUCUUGCAUUAUGUCAACUAGAUAGUUGGGCUUUCAGACUCAUUGCUUAUAUUGAGACUCUAUUGUAUUAUCCAGAGUGUGUUACUGGACAUGAUUAUCCCAUUCAAAUGGAUUAUAAGCUUCCUGACUACAGGACAUAGUCCUCAUGAUGUUUUUUCGAAAUACUUUUAUUAUGAAGAAAGUAAAAUUGCCAGCUGUUACCAUUCAACUUUAUGAGCAGAGAUUAAACUUUUUCAAUAUCUGGUCUUAUCAUUUAUUUUUAAUUGACCAGCUUUCAUUUCAUCUCUUCGUAACAACUCCAUGAUGUUUCUUGGAACCACAUCUUCCAAUUUUUAGUCCACCUAGUUCAGACAGUCUGAUCUAACCUUAGGUUUCAUGUGUGGACAUGUAGUUCAGACCUGAUCAAUCAGUAUAGUUCAUCUCCUUGAUCAUAGUGAUUGAUUUGAUUCGGGAAUGGUCAUGUGAUUCAAGUUGGUCCAGUAAUACUCAGCCCUAGCAGUUUGACUGAUCUGUGGAAGAGGAAAAGCUCAGAAACGACUGAGGUUGCUUACCUUUGUGGGAUGAAAAAUCUCAAACCAGCAGGGUCUACCAUAUAAAAUGUGCCAGUCAGAGAAUGAAGCCAGUGCAAAGGAAAGCGGAGCCAAAUGAUGGAGAGACUUGAGUCCUGAUGACAAUGUUUGUGCUCCUAGAUCCACCCGUGCCUGAAGCUAGUAUAUCCUCUGGAUUUUUUUCAGUUUUGUGAACCAAUAAAUAUCCUUUUGUUUAAGUUA